rnacentral:rRNA from 1 species
UCUAGAGGCUUCGGCAAUGGGGGCAACCCUGACCGAGCGACGCCGCGUGUGGGAUUGAAGGCCUUCGGGUCGUAAACCACUGUCAUUGGGAAAGAAUGCCUGAAUGGUGAAUUCAGGAGAGACGGUACCCAAGAAGGAAGCCCCGGCUAACUCCGUGCCAGCAGCCGCGGUAAUACGGAGGGGGCAAGCGUUGUUCGGAUUUACUGGGCGUAAAGGGUGUGUAGGCGGUUGCGUAAGUCUGGUGUGAAAUCUUCACCGCUUAACGGGAAGAGGUCACUGGAAACUGCGUAACUCGAGUAUGGUAGAGGCAAGCGGAAUUCCUGGUGUAGCGGUGGAAUGUGUAGAUAUCAGGAAGAACAUCUGUGGCGAAGGCGGCUUGCUGGGCCAUCACUGACGCUGAGACACGAAAGCGUGGGGAGCGAACG